UACGUAGGGGGCAAGCGUUGUCCGGCUUUACUGGGCGUAAAGGGCGUGCAGGCGGUUUGUUAAGUGCAGGGUGAAAGCUCCCGGCUCAACUGGGAGAGGUCCUUGCAUACUGGCAGACUUGAGGGAGGCAGAGGAAAGUGGAAUUCCCGGUGUAGUGGUGAUAUGCGUAGAUAUCGGGAGGAACACCUGUGGCGAAGGCGGCUUUCUGGGCCUUACCUGACGCUGAGACGCGAAAGCGUGGGGAGCGAACCGG
rnacentral:rRNA from 1 species